GCAGAGCUCAGCGCUGCCUCUCCGCUCCCUGUGAGGAGCUGCAGCCGCCAUCAGGCCUCAGCUCCUCUGCUCUGCGCCAACACAGGGACUCAACUGUUCUUCACACAUCUUGCUCUCCAGACCCUUCCCCAUUUUUGAAGCUCUCCUUAGGAUGGGACAAAAGCAGCCCAGGUCGUACAGGAUCAAGCGAAGUUGGAAAGAAGCAAAUCCCUGUGUAAACAUCAAUAUCGUCAAUUAAUUAGGAAACACAGCAAGAUAAAUAAUGAAGCCCCAAGAAAGGUUAACACCACAAAAAGGAGAAAAAAAAAAAAGGAAAAAGAAGAAAGUACUGCAGUUAGCGGAGUGAAGAAACUCUUGAAACACUGUUGUCUGAAA